AGCAUUCAAUGAUGAUCACAUGGAUUAUGUGUUGGUAAACGACACCCGACAUUGAUGAGGAGUUACACCAUGUUGCCUUCCUUCUGAGAAUGCC
ensembl:snoRNA